rnacentral:rRNA from 1 species
GCCAGACUCCUACGGGAGGCAGCAGUGGGGAAUAUUGCACAAUGGGGGAAACCCUGAUGCAGCGACGCCGCGUGAGUGAAGAAGUAUUUCGGUAUGUAAAGCUCUAUCAGCAGGGAAGAAAAUGACGGUACCUGAUUAAGAAGCCCCGGCUAACUACGUGCCAGCAGCCGCGGUAAUACGUAGGGGGCAAGCGUUAUCCGGAUUUACUGGGUGUAAAGGGAGCGUAGACGGUGAUGCAAGUCAGAAGUGAAAGCCCGGGGCUCAACUCCGGGACUGCUUUUGAAACUGUGUGACUGGAGUGCAGGAGAGGUAAGCGGAAUUCCUGGUGUAGCGGUGAAAUGCGUAGAUAUCAGGAGGAACACCAGUGGCGAAGGCGGCUUACUGGACUGUAACUGACGUUGAGGCUCGAAAGCGUGGGGAGCAAACAGGAUUAGAUACCCUCGUAGCU